rnacentral:rRNA from 1 species
CCUACGGGUGGCAGCAGUGGGCAAUAUUGGACAAUGGGCGAAAGCCUGAUCCAGCCAUGCCGCGUGUGUGAAGAAGGCCUUCGGGUUGUAAAGCACUUUCAGUGGGGAAGAAAGCCUUGGGGCUAAUACCCUCGAGGAAGGACAUCACCCACAGAAGAAGCACCGGCUAACUCCGUGCCAGCAGCCGCGGUAAUACGGAGGGUGCGAGCGUUAAUCGGAAUUACUGGGCGUAAAGCGCGCGUAGGCGGUCUGAUAAGCCGGUUGUGAAAGCCCCGGGCUCAACCUGGGAACGGCAUCCGGAACGGUCAGGCUAGAGUGCAGGAGAGGAAGGUAGAAUUCCCGGUGUAGCGGUGAAAUGCGUAGAGAUCGGGAGGAAUACCAGUGGCGAAGGCGGCCUUCUGGACUGACACUGACGCUGAGGUGCGAAAGCGUGGGUAGCAAACAGGAUUAGAUACCCUUGUAGUC